UAGUUACCUGCAAGAGAGAGAGAGAGAUGCGGGGUUUUGCGUCUUGAAUCGUCGAGAAUAACAUCUGUCGGACAUCGAACGGCCGAGAUUAAUAUGCAGGGCAUAAUACGAGGUGAGGGCUACCACAGAAUAGUAGUCGGUGCCUGCGUCAGGGGGCAGGUUUUUAAGUAUGUGAAUCCAAUGUCUGUCAGAGAAAGGAAGUCACGAUCCACGAGGAGGCCAGUGGAUGACGUGGAAGUACAGCUGGACUCAACGGCCAUAUUCCGAACAUUUUUUUUCAAUUAUUUGUUUAUUCCUUUAUUUAUGCCAUGGAGUAGGAUACCCCAGAUCAGAACGAGAAAGAUACGUCCUGGGUUUUAAAUUAGGCAAAUCCGGCCCAGCCCAAAAUUUGGAUAAUUGAAUUUUUGGUUAUGGUUUUCGGUCUGGAUAAAUAUUUAUAAAAAUUGAAAGCAUCCGAUCCGAAUUCGGAUAUAAAACCGGAUUUCGUAUUAUACCCGUUUGCUAACCGGGUUUGUUUAUAACGCCCAAAACAAAGGAGUUGUGAAUUCAGUCUCUCGUCUCUCUCUCUCUCUCGUUUCGAACCUUAGCAGAAAUUAGAAACCCUAACCUCUUCCGUGAAAUCUUGCCGCCGUCUCUCUCUUGCCGUCGCCGCUGGCCGGACGUUGAUCAGUGAGUCUCUCUCUCUCUCUCACUUAGGCUAUAUAUAGCUCCAAGCUAUUUAUUGAUGUCAAGGGACAACAUUUCAAGUUAUUGCCAUUUGGUUCUAGAAGGAGGAUGUGCCCUGGAUAUAGUCUUGGACUAAAGGAGGAUGCUCUAGCUUAGCCAAUAUUUUGCAUGGAUUUGAGUGGAAACUGGAGGAUGACCUGAAGCCUGAAGAUUUUUGAGUAUGGAGGAAAUUUAUGGUUUGGCAACACCAAGAAAGUUCCCACUUGUUGCAGUAGUGAAGCCUCGACUCCCAUGCCAUCUUUACUAAUUAAUUUUCAGUUUUAGCAUGAAUUAUCCAUCUUGAAUAACCCUUUAUAUAUUUUGUAAUAAUUUCCUCGUUUGAGGACAUGAAGUAAUUAGGUUGUGUGGUA